GAUCGCUCACGGGUGUGUGCGCAGCAGCGGGGCCCCGCGGGCAGGGCCGCCCCCUCCGCGGGCCGCCGCAGCCGCGCUCCAGCACAGAGCCCGUAAGACCUGUUCAAAAGCAAACCCUGUUUCUGAAGGGAACAGGCAGAAAUUCCCAAGGGGCGGAGACAGGGAACAGCUGUCAGACAGCAGUCCCCUGUAUGGAACUCGGCAGAGCCUCCAUGCAAGAGGAAAGACACUGAAGGACUCGGCUGUCUGUUAAGGUAUCAGCAUUGUUCUUGUCAGCAGCAGAAUGCAUCGGCAGGUUUCACCAUGUGAAGCUCUGUAGGAUGAUACACCAGUGUAGGUAAGCUAUUUUAAAAAAUUGUAUAUGUAUAUGGCUACUUUAGUCUCUGAUUAAAAAGGUGGGGCAUGUUUUUGUCAGAUGUUUGUAAUUUGUUAAGGCUUUUUUGUUGUUGCAAAUUAAUUUCUCUAAACUGGACAGUGGUAAUCAAGUUGGUUAUAUGCAUCAGGACAUACUUUUUCUCCAAUGGAAAAGUCAAUGUAAUUAUGUUUGAAGCUUCUAAUACAAGAUGAUGUUAAUUUUAGUCCUAUUUUUAUAAGAACUUUUUUAAAAUUUCUUUUUGCAAGAUAAUAAAAACCCAAAACAAUGCUAUGAGCAAAACAACUAAAUUACUUGAACGGUAAUUAGCAAAGACAUCAGGUCAAAGGAAUGCAAACAUACAAGUCUAUUGCUAUGCCUCACUGCAAAACUCUAGUAUGCUGUGUUAGUAGAUAUGUUAAAUCUUUCAGCAGUUGCAGAGAAAUGAGUAUCGACAUGUCUGGUUGUACCUCAGUAUUUUUAAUACUUUCAAGAUGUAUAUCUAAUACUCAGAUGUAGUCAGAUUAAUUUAUUCAGACAUUUCUUAACUUCAAGCUUAUUUCUGGUGGAGACAGAAGCUUUCUAUUAGCAAAAAGUUAUAUAAGCCUUUCUUCUGCAUUUCACCUAAACAGAAUAGUGACAUAAGAACUUGAGUAACUGCUAAAACAUUAUUGCUGAGAUAUCAGUUUAUUUGAUAGUAAGGCUGAAUAAAAAAAGCAAAAUCUUUUUUGGGGACUAAAGUCCUGGUUUUCAUAAAGUAAGUGUUGCUAACAUCUUUGAGCUGGAUUAACACGGUUCUAUGUUCAUGUGCUAACUUUCAGAUGGGAAAUGAAAAGACGGUAUUAUUUCCCCUAAUUAUAUAUAAAGUUGAUGGAGGGAAAGGAAUAGCAAAUUCUUCUUGUUGCCAGUAUAUAAUAGAUAUUUACUUAUAAUUCCAAUUUGGGGUUGACGACUUCAAUAUAACAUCACUUGAAUUAUUUUACAUAUUAAUUUUAUUAAUUAUAUCUAUUAUGUAUAUAUAUCAUAUUAUUACCUGAAUUCUAAAUGGUGUAUUACUUGCAGUAUUAUAGGGUCAGUGGUGCUUUAUGACGGUUCUGUAAUUGAAGCAAAGUGAAAUUUCUCCUGAGGCAAGCAGGGUGAAACUCAAAAGCAUUAUUGCUAUCUGAGGAGGAUCAAUUGCUGACAUCUCCCCAGGACACACUUGACAGAUGCACCUUUUUUAAGAGUGUCUUUUGGAGAUAAACUAAGGUGGAUUUUUUCCUCCUAUUGUGAAGGCCAUACAGUGAAUGAGAAACAGUAUGAACAAAGAUACCUUGUGUUGGUGCAUGCAGUCUUCAGAUGCUUUGACCCAGCACUCUCUGGGUAAAUUAUCUGACUUUUUUGUAGCUUUCAGGAUCACAGACUUCAAAAUUAGCCAUUUUAACUAAAAAUUUGGGUGCAACAUUCAGUACAAAGGAACAAAGUUGUCUCCCCAAGUAAUAGAUUUUGAUUUAUCAAGUUUUCAAGUAGGGCCAUGCUCUAAGCUGACAAGAAUGCAAGCAAAAUGAUUUGCCUUUUUUUUUCCUCUAGGCGUCAUUUAGCAUUUGGUAACAUACAUAUUUAAGAAUAAGUGUAGUUGACUGUAUUGGUGAUUAUAGACACAGUUUUGUUCAAAAUUAUUGCAUAUUUUUAUAACCAAGUUUCCAGAAUAUUUGAAAUAUAGGAUACCUUAUAUAUUAUUAUAAACUAAAUAUAUAAUAAAUUAAUAUUUCACACCGGCUUUGUUUAUAUCUAGGACAGGUCAGGAUAUUUCCAUUGAAACCAAAGGUCUAACCUCAAAGUUUUAGUGCUAUCAUAGUAAAGCUUAUUACUAGGAUUGUUUACUUUUAUAACUUUAUGUAUAGUACUACACUUCACCCUUCAGCUUCUACAGUUGUGCUUUCCUACCCAUCUUCAUAUAGCUCAGAAAGAUGCAGGAAGGUAAGAUUUAGCAUAGAAUUUUGAGAUGGGGGUUAAAAAAAAAAAAACAAACCAACCAGAAAAAACUAAAAGCAAACCAAACAGAACCUUA